GACGAACGCUGGCGGCGUGCUUAACACAUGCAAGUCGAACGGAAAGGCCCUGCUUUUGUGGGGUGCUCGAGUGGCGAACGGGUGAGUAACACGUGAGUAACCUGCCCUUGACCUUGGGAUAACUUCAGGAAACUGGGGCUAAUACCGGAUAGGAGCUCCUGCUGCAUGGUGGGGGUUGGAAAGUUUCGGCGGUUGGGGAUGGACUCGCGGCUUAUCAGCUUGUUGGUGGGGUAGUGGCUUACCAAGGCUUUGACGGGUAGCCGGCCUGAGAGGGUGACCGGCCACAUUGGGACUGAGAUACGGCCCAGACUCCUACGGGAGGCAGCAGUGGGGAAUAUUGCACAAUGGGCGGAAGCCUGAUGCGGCAACGCCGCGUGCGGGAUGACGGCCUUCGGGUUGUAAACCGCUUUCGCCUGUGACGAAGCGUGAGUGACGGUAAUGGGUAAAGAAGCACCGGCUAACUACGUG
rnacentral:rRNA from 1 species